rnacentral:rRNA from 1 species
UGGCGGUGUGCUUCACACAUGCAAGUCGAACGAGGUAGCAAUACCUAGUGGCGGACGGGUGAGUAACGCGUGGGAAUCUGCCUUAGAUGGGGGAUAACGGAUCGAAAGAUUCGCUAAUACCGCAUAUGACGAAAGUUGAAAGGAGUAAUCCGUCUAAAGAUGAGCCCGCGUCCGAUUAGCUAGUUGGUAGGGUAAAAGCCUACCAAGGCGACGAUCGGUAGCUGGUCUGAGAGGAUGAUCAGCCACAAUGGGACUGAGACACGGCCCAUACUCCUACGGGAGGCAGCAGUGGGGAAUUUUACGCAAUGGGGGAAACCCUGACGUAGCGACACCGCGUGAGCGAAGAAGCCCCUUGGGGUGUAAAGCUCUGUCAGCUGGAACGAAAAAAAUGACGGUACCAGCAGAGGAAGCAUCGGCUAACUACGUGCCAGCAGCCGCGGUAAGACGUAGGAUGCAAGCGUUGUCCGGAUUUAUUGGGCGUAAAGAGUUCGUAGGUGGUUUGUUAAGUUUGGUGU